rnacentral:rRNA from 1 species
UACGGAAGGCAGCAGUGGGGAAUAUUGCACAAUGGGCGAAAGCCUGAUGCAGCUAUGCCGCGCGUAUGAAGAAGGCCUUAGGGUUGUAAAGUACUUUCAUCGGGGAGGAAAAACAAAACUAAUAAUUUUAUUUCUUGACGUUACCCGAAAAAGAAGCACCGGCUAACUCCGUGCCAGCAGCCGCGGUAAUACGGAGGGUGCUAGCGUUAAUCAGAAUUACUGGGCGUAAAGAGCACGUAGGUGGUUUUUUAAGUCAGAUGUGAAUCCCUGGGCUUAACCUAGGAACUGCAUUUUGAAACUGAAAUACUAGAGUAUCGUAGAGGGAGGUAGAAUUCUAGGUGUAGCGGUGAAAUGCGUAGAUAUCUGGAGGAAUACCUGUGGCGAAAGCGGCCUCCUAAACGAAUACUGACACUGAGGUGCGAAAGCGUGGGGAGGCAAACAGGGAUUAGAUACC